rnacentral:rRNA from 1 species
GACGAACGCUGGCGGCGUGCUUAACACAUGCAAGUCGAACGGAAAGGCCCUGCUUUUGUGGGGUGCUCGAGUGGCGAACGGGUGAGUAACACGUGAGUAACCUGCCCUUGACUUUGGGAUAACUUCAGGAAACUGGGGCUAAUACCGGAUAGGAGCUCCUGCUGCAUGGUGGGGGUUGGAAAGUCUCGGCGGUUGGGGAUGGACUCGCGGCUUAUCAGCUUGUUGGUGGGGUAGUGGCUUACCAAGGCAUUGACGGGUAGCCGGCCUGAGAGGGUGACCGGCCACAUUGGGACUGAGAUACGGCCCAGACUCCUACGGGAGGCAGCGGUGGGGAAUAUUGCACAAUGGGCGGAAGCCUGAUGCAGCAACGCCGCGUGCGGGAUGACGGCCUUCGGGUUGUAAACCGCUUUCGCCUGUGACGAAGCGUGAGUGACGGUAAUGGGUAAAGAAGCACCGGCUAACUACGUG